rnacentral:rRNA from 1 species
AUUGAACGCUGGCGGCAGGCCUAACACAUGCAAGUCGAGCGGUAGAGAGAAGCUUGCUUCUCUUGAGAGCGGCGGACGGGUGAGUAAUGCCUAGGAAUCUGCCUGGUAGUGGGGGAUAACGUUCGGAAACGGACGCUAAUACCGCAUACGUCCUACGGGAGAAAGCAGGGGACCUUCGGGCCUUGCGCUAUCAGAUGAGCCUAGGUCGGAUUAGCUAGUCGGUGGGGUAAUGGCUCACCAAGGCGACGAUCCGUAACUGGUCUGAGAGGAUGAUCAGUCACACUGGAACUGAGACACGGUCCAGACUCCUACGGGAGGCAGCAGUGGGGAAUAUUGGACAAUGGGCGAAAGCCUGAUCCAGCCAUGCCGCGUGUGUGAAGAAGGUCUUCGGAUUGUAAAGCACUUUAAGUUGGGAGGAAGGGCCAUUACCUAAUACGUGAUGGUUUUGACGUUACCGACAGAAUAAGCACCGGCUAACUCUGUGCCAGCAGCCGCGGUAAUACAGAGGGUGCAAGCGUUAAUCGGAAUUACUGGGCGUAAAGCGCGCGUAGGUGGUUUGUUAAGUUGGAUGUGAAAUCCCCGGGCUCAACCUGGGAACUGCAUUCAAAACUGACUGACUAGAG